GCGUGGCAGCAAGGCUGUUUUGGUCUUUUCACCUCCUGAUCCUUAUCUAUCUGAUCCAGCUCGAGCUCUGGAGCACCUUGGAAGGUAGUAGAGCUCAGAGAAGGGUUUCUUCACCUUCCUCACACUCUCUCUCUCUAGGGAUUGUCUCUCUCUACAAAGAAGUCACCGUUUUGCACCGUCGUCGUCGCCGAGCUCGCUCUUCGCUGUUUGGGAGUGUCACUGAGCCUUGGUGGACGUGUGAGGGAGUGUUUUGGAGAGCUUUUCGCAGCCCUGGACCAGUAACUCACUGGUUGCAAGCUUGAGAAGGUAAUCGGCUCACUUUUUCAAUUUUCGGCAAUCUAUUGGACGAAUUUUGUAUAAUUUCAGGAUUGUUGCUUCUAGUUGUUUUAAUAUGAGAUUUCAGCAAUUAAGUUGGAUUAAUUAGCUGUGAAUUAACCUCUUUAGACCAGGGUUAAGCUACUCUGAAGCUUAAUGGAAAUAUUUAGCUAAUUACGAAGCUAGUUCGGAACUAUACGAAGUUACUCGGGUAUUUGAUGCAGUUUGGGAAUUGUAUCUUCGCAGCAGGUUUCCGAACCACGUGGAGCUUAUUUGGUGACCUGGGAGGCUGGAUUAGAAGGUGUUCUACCUUGAGCAGGAGUGGGAUCGACUCUUGGAGUGAUUUUGGCUGACCUGUGGAAGCUCUGGAAGACUCGACUUGAGCAAAUCCAGGGAUCGUUUGAGCUGAAUUUGGAGCAUCUCUUGGGCUGUUUUGAGCUUAGUGAUAGAGCCAUCUACAGGAGAGGCUAG